rnacentral:rRNA from 1 species
UACGUAGGGCGCAAGCGUUAUCCGGAAUUAUUGGGCGUAAAGAGCUCGUAGGUGGCUUGUCACGUCGGGUGUGAAAGCUUGGGGCUUAACUCCAGGUCUGCAUUCGAUACGGGCUGGCUAGAGGUAGGUAGGGGAGAACGGAAUUCCUGGUGUAGCGGUGAAAUGCGCAGAUAUCAGGAGGAACACCGGUGGCGAAGGCGGUUCUCUGGGCCUUACCUGACGCUGAGGAGCGAAAGCGUGGGGAGCGAACAGG